GACGAACGCUGGCGGCGUGCUUAACACAUGCAAGUCGAACGGGAUUUAGUAGACAGAAGCCUCGGCUAAAGAUUACUAAUGAGAGUGGCGAACGGGUGAGUAACGCGUGAGCAACCUGCCUAUGACAGUGGGAUAGCCUCGGGAAACCGGGAUUAAUACCGCAUAAAAUCGUAGAAACACAUGUUUCAACGGUCAAAGAUUUAUCGGUCAUAGAUGGGCUCGCGUCUGAUUAGCUAGUUGGUGAGAUAACAGCCCACCAAGGCGACGAUCAGUAGCCGGUCUGAGAGGAUGAACGGCCACAUUGGAACUGAGACACGGUCCAAACUCCUACGGGAGGCAGCAGUGGGGAAUAUUACACAAUGGGGGAAACCCUGAUGCAGCGACGCCGCGUGAACGAAGAAGGUAUUCGUAUCGUAAAGUUCUGUCCUAUGGGAAGAUAAUGACAGUACCAUAGAAGAAAGCGCCGGCUAAAUACGUG
rnacentral:rRNA from 1 species